rnacentral:lncRNA from 1 species
AGGCUAGAGUGCAGUGGUGCAACUUUGGCCUGCUGCAGCUUCAACCUGAUUGGCUCAAGCAAUCCUGCUACCUCAGCCUCCAGAGUAUGGGACUACAGUCCUGGAACACAAGACUGGAACCCUGGAAGGAUCAGAUUGUCUCAUUUUAACAGAAGAGAGACUGAGGCACAAGAGGAGACCAAGCACGGCUCCAGGGAUGCUACCUGAACACUCUGCGGCUUCUCUGAGAAACCCUAUCGAAGGGGAUGUGGAAUCUCAGAGCUACUCUUGCUAUCAACUCGCCGCAUGACCUUGGGAAAAUCAUUUCACCUCGUUCAGCAAUGAUUUACUGAGCCAUUGAAGGCCUUACUUUCCAG